rnacentral:lncRNA from 1 species
ACCUAAAUAGAUACAGAAUAUGACCUCUAAUAAUAAUAAUAUUAUUUCCAUAGAAAACCUUCCCCAGUGAGGGCUCCAGCCGAACAGCCAGUGUUCACUUUCUACAUUUAUGCUGUUCUGGACAAAAAAUUCAGAUUUAACAGACAGCAUGACUCUCUUUUGCUCCUUCAAGGGAAUAAAGUCUUUGAACUACAGAUUACAUAUUUUUUGGGUCUACAACAGGAAGGCUAUUUGAUUGAAGCAACAUUUUCACUUUGGCAAGGCAUUGACAGGGGUGUUCCAAUAGAAUACAGAUAUGCAGUUCAGAAACAAAGUGGCCCCAUUAUGGAAACAGCAUUAAGACGUGUUUAUGUCCCCACUGAAAAUACAGUAAAAGAAUGGCACCUUUAUGAAGGUUACAUAAGUUCAAGUUCAAGAUCUGUUAAAGAACGGGUGACGGACUGGAUCUUUCAGAAUGCACAAGAAGAAAUUUGCAAACGCUGGGAGACAUCUGCACAUGCACUGCUGGACAGAGUGUUUAAGAAAUGGGGGUCAUUUAAUGAUGAAGACAACAAGAC